GGGGGACAGGGAGUGCGAGGCAACGAGCUGAAAGCACCUGAGCUGGAGGAGCUUAGAAGGGCUUCAGCUGUCGGCGGCCAUCUUGAAAGAAAGAAAGAAAGGAAAGAAAGAAAGAAAGAAAUAUAGGGCCUGGGUCACUGGAGGGGGAGAAAACACAAUGGCUCAAAGAAAGAAAGAAAGGGAAGGAAACCCAGCAGAGUCCCUGAGAACAAAGAGCCCAGGAAUGCAAUCCCAGGAUAGACAAGGAUUUGCAGCGGCCUGGGCACCUGAGAGGCAAUGAUACAGAUACAACUUCCUUUCCGGCAGCAGUGGAGCAUCUAGCAUUUACAUACCCCACACUGCUAGAUUUCUUCCCACGUGGGACAGUCACGGAUGAGGACCAUUGUCCCUGCUCGCAACACCUGCAUCUAUUCACAUCUGAAAAACCUGAAAAGUAUAUUCCCAGAUAUAAAAUUACCUAAAAAUGGAGGUAAGCUUGUGAGUACAUAUCAGGGACUCAGAAUAAAAUAAGAAUAUUGGUAUCCCCAAAGCAUUAUCCUUAGAUCAUGUGUUGCAGAAGCGGGGAAGGCAUGGAGUGAGUAGUACAGGAUUACAGGAACAGAAGUGACAAGUCUGGCUAUUGAGACAGGUGUUGACUGCCUCCCAUGGAGAACAGAUUCUCCUCCUUUUUCUGCAACAGAGUUUUCAUGCACUGCUGGGCUCUUGGAGUGGAAUGAGCUAGAGUUAGACACCUCAGUCCCCUUUACAAUGCAUGAGGAGAAUUAGGGGCCUUGGAGUGGAAUCCCCCACUUCUGGGCCACUGCACAGAAGAUACCUAAGCCAUCCAAAAAAAAAACCCACUGAAGGAAAGGGGUUGCCUGAAAUUCCUCAUCAUUCUCAGGCUUAGGUGCCCAUAUGACAUAGAAGACUCAGCCUCAAAAACCCUCUAAAUUGUCCCUUCUCUUCAUUAUUGGCCUUGGUAAUGCUGGUGUUCAUUUUUAAUGUAAUAUCCUUUGGUUUCAGCCAAGAAGCCUGAGGAGACCUAAGGAAAGGGCCAAACCCAAGUCUCCCAAGGAAGCACACCAACUACUAGGCUAUAGAAGAGAUGUGUGGGGGCACACACCCCCACACACCCCCUGUUGAAGCUGCCCGCUGUGCAGCCAGGCAUGCAAAAUUCAUAGGGUAGAAAGGGAGAGCACCAGAAGGGACCAUGAUUUUGUAGCCCAGC